rnacentral:rRNA from 1 species
CGGACGGGUGAGUAACGCGUGGGUAACCUGCCUUGUACAGGGGAUAACAGUUGGAAACGGCUGCUAAUACCGCAUAAGCGCACGGCAUCGCAUGAUGCAGUGUGAAAAACUCCGGUGGUAUAAGAUGGACCCGCGUUGGAUUAGCUAGUUGGUGAGGUAACGGCCCACCAAGGCGACGAUCCAUAGCCGACCUGAGAGGGUGACCGGCCACAUUGGGACUGAGACACGGCCCAA